CUUAUCCUUUACUACGACGGAGUGCAUAGAUCUGAAGGGUAAAUGACUCCAGCCAUAGAAUCACCGCCCGAUGAGAAAUAAAGAACACGUCCACCAACUCAUUCCUGUGCCCUGCACUGCGGUAACAGCUGUUCUGAUUUCCAUUAUCAUACAUCAGCUUUGUCUGUUUUUGAUCUUCACAUAAAUAGACUCACACCAUAUGUACUUUCUCUCCUUCUUCUAGGUCUGGCUCCUUUGGCUCAUCUGACUUUGUGAUUCUUCCAUUUUUCUACAUUCAUCAGCAAUCUGCUCUUUCAUCCCCACCCCCAUGUUGGGAAUUGAGCCCUGGGCCCAGCAGACGUCAGGCAAGCGGUCUGCCCCAGAGCCACAUCCCCAGGCCAGCUAUUCUGUAUUUAUGAGUAGUGUGUUUUGUAUAGUAACAUACAGUAACAUAUAGUAACAUAACCAGUUUUCUAUCCAUUAUCUUCUUGAUGAAUUCAGGGCCUCUAACUCACUGAGGCACACAUACAUCCGUCUGUGUUGUUAACAUUCUUGUACAUGUUUCUUGUGAUUUGGAUGCAUUCAUUUUCCUCCUGUAGGUGUAGGUGUGGGUGUAUAUGUAUACAGAAUUCAAAUUAUAUACAAAUGUACACUUGAAUUCCACAAAACAGCAACGUUUAUUAAUUUAGUGGUCAUUUAGACUAAUCAUUUUAAUGCUCUUUAUUUCUUCCUUCCUGCAUCUCCAGCCUACCAUCUGGAAUAAUAGUCCCCUUGAAAAUUUAGUUUCCCACUUCUAGUGACUAACAUCCAUUGUUUUAGUUUGUCUAAAUAUGACUUUAUUUCACUUUUUUUUUUUUUUGUAUGUUUGAUUUUUUUUUCUUGUGGUUCUGGGAAUUGAACCCAGGGGUGCUCUACCACUGAGCUACAUCACCAGCCCUUUUUAUUUUGAGACACGGUCUGGCAAUUGCCCGGAAUUGACCUGGAAUUUGUGAUCCUUCUGCCUCAGCCUCUUAACUUGCUGAGAUUACAGAUGUGCACCACCCCACCCAGUUCUUGCCUAUCUUUUAUGGUUUUUGGUUUUUUUGUUGUUUGCUUUGUACCAGGAAUUGAACCCAGAGAUGUUUUACCACUGAGCCACAUCCCCAGCCCAUUUUAUUUGUUAUUUUUAAGACAGAGCCUUAUUGCUGAUGCUGGUCUAUGAACUUGCAAUCCUCCUGCCUCAGCCUCCCAAAUCAUUGGGAUUACAGACAAAUGCCAUUGCACCUAGACUCUUAUGUUUUUAAUCUUUUUAUCCACAUUUUUUUUUUGUACACAGGAUUGAACCUAGAGGCACUAUACCACAGAAUCACAUCCCUAGCCCAUUUUAAUUUUUUUCUUUUUUUUUUGAGACAGGGUCUCACACUAAGUUGCUUAGGGCCUUGCUAAUUUGCUGAAGCCGCCCUUAAAUUUGCAAUCCUCCUGCCUCAGCCUCCUGAGUCACUGUGAUUAUAGGCCGGCACCACCACAC
rnacentral:lncRNA from 1 species